rnacentral:rRNA from 1 species
GUGCCAGCAGCCGCGGUAACACGUAGGGUGCGAGCGUUGUCCGGAAUUAUUGGGCGUAAAGAGCUCGUAGGCGGUGUGUCGCGUCGGCCGUGAAAACCUGCAGCUUAACUGUGGGCUUGCGGUCGAUACGGGCAUCACUGGAGUUCGGCAGGGGAGACUGGAAUUCCUGGUGUAGCGGUGAAAUGCGCAGAUAUCAGGAGGAACACCGGUGGCGAAGGCGGGUCUCUGGGCCGAUACUGACGCUGAGGAGCGAAAGCGUGGGGAGCGAACAGGAUUAGAUACCCUGGUAGUCC